GCUGGUGUUUGCUGAAUGUUUCAUGUUUGGGUGAAGGACUCAAAGCAGGUGGUUCUGAACCAGGACCCUAACAGAACCUCACUGACAGUAACAUUUAUCACACAGGUGGUCCAGAUUAGAGAUGUUCAGGAGCUCGUAGCUUUUCUUUGUUUUUUUUAUUUUUAUUUACACUUUGGGUCCUGAAGCUGAUCCGAAAUGGUUCUGACUGUUUCCCAAAGCUU